GACGAACGCUGGCGGCGUGCCUAAUACAUGCAAGUUGAGCGCUGAAGGUUGGUACUUGUACCAACUGGAUGAGCAGCGAACGGGUGAGUAACGCGUGGGUAAUCUGCCUUUGAGCGGGGGACAACAUUUGGAAACGAAUGCUAAUACCGCAUAAAAACUUUAAACACAAGUUUUAAGUUUGAAAGAUGCAAUUGCAUCACUCAAAGAUGAUCCCGCGUUGUAUUAGCUAGUUGGUGAGGUAAAGGCUCACCAAGGCGAUGAUACAUAGCCGACCUGAGAGGGUGAUCGGCCACAUUUGGAAUGAGACACGGCCCAAACUCCUACGGGAGGCAGCAGUAGGGAAUCUUCGGCAAUGGACGAAAGUCUGACCGAGCAACGCCGCGUGAGGGAAGAAGGUUUUCGGAUCGUAAAACUCUGUUGGUAGAGAAGAACGUUGGUGAGAGUGGAAAGCUCAUCAAGUGACGGUAACUACCCAGAAAGGGACGGCUAACUACGUG
rnacentral:rRNA from 1 species